rnacentral:lncRNA from 1 species
AAGCUCACCUUUUUCUAUACAGUAUUAUACAUGCAUAAAACAAAUCAUUUGGCACUUCUGGCAUUCCUAUCAGAGAUCCAAACCCAGCCAAAUCCAUCAGUUCAUUAGGUAUAUAUUCUAUUGUCUAGAUCACAACAGGCAACAGUAUUGUCAAAAUUUCUGCCACUUCAUAACCAGGGUCACUUUUUCUCCAGCCUCCAAUAGUAAUUCCUGUAGUAUCUUCCUCUAAGUAUUCACUAGAAGUCUCCUUCAGGUUUUUCUAUUCUCAUUAACAGUGUCCUCAAGAUCUUUGCAGCGUUUGCUCAUUGUCUGGUUCCAAAACCAUGGCCACAUGUUUUAGAUAGUUAUGGCAGCACUCCACUUCCAGGUAUCAAAUUCUGUUCUUAUUAUCUACUGCAGCAUAGCAAAUUACUCCAAAACUUAGUGGCUAAAAAUAACAAUCAUUUUAUUAUAUCAGGACCUUGUUGCUUGGGCAUUUGGGCAUGCCUCUGCUGGGUGAUUCUUCCGCUCCAUUUCAAAUUGACUGAGGACACUCAAUGGUUUUCAGCUGGUGGGUCGGCUUGUCAGGAGGGUCAGGAUGGCUUUCCUCACAUGACUGCCACUGGCUAGAAAGUGGGGUUCAGCUGGGCUUGUUGUCUGGAGUGUCUACACAUGGCCUCUCUAGUAGGGUGGCUUUAGGGUAGUAGAACUUCUUACAUAGUGACUAAGUGUUUCCAGAGAGAGUGUUCCAAGAGACAGAAAGUGAAAGCUACCAGUUUCAUAAGGUGUAGACUUGGAAUCUGGGCUGGCUUCACUUUUGCUAUGGCUUUACUGGCCAAACAGCCACAGAGACCACCCAGAUUCAAGGCCAUGGGAUGUAGACCCUAUUUCUCUGUGGGAACAGUGAAAAAUUUUUAGUAUGAAAGAAAAAUAAUGUUUAGUUUUUCAUCUUGAAUUGCCUACUAGUGCUUACAAGGCUGACUGACUCAAUGAACUAAUUCAGGUUUAGGAAUUACACAUUCGAGCUUCUGGUUCCAUAUCUCCCAUUGCUUGGCUGCACUUGAACUGAGGUAAAUAACCUUUCACAUACAUUUUAGGUAUUAUAAUAAUAAAAGCAGCUAUGCUAAAUUUUACAAAAUACAUCUUAUAAGCUGGAAGACAGAGGCCCAUCCAGAUCUGUCUUUGGAGACUUUCUUAAGUUCUACAUACUCAAGAUCAAUUUUAUGAUAAUAUAAAUACAAUAGGAGAAAGAGCUCUGCUUGCAACUCAGUAAUAAAAAAUUCAGAGAUGAUAGGAAAUUCCAUAUCUAUUCUUGGCCUAGCAGGAGGAAUUUUGUAGCUUGAGAAGGAGCUGGGAUAUUUCUCUAAGACACUGUGUAACCAAGUCUCAGGCCCAUGAUUCACCACUUCUUCUUCUUUGGUGCUCUGCAAAAUGCCAUGGGUUGUUCUGAGUGAUUGCCUCACCGUGGCAUGAUAGACAUGAGAACUCAAGACGAGCAAUGAAAGUAUCAUGAUUGACACAAAUUCCAAGUAUGUUGGCUUAACUAUUUUCAUGUUUGUUCUGUUAACACAGAAGAGACCAGGUUCUGCUGCUGUGUGUUCUUUAGUUGCAUUUUAGUGAGACUUUUCCUCUCCCUUUAUGAAUAUAGGAUUCUGACAGCUGACAAAUGACAUUCCAAGAACUUAGCCAGAGCCCAGAUUGUGCCCUGCUGUGGGAAUUUCUCCUCAUAGAUUUGUCCAACAACUCUGCUCUGGAGAAAAUGCUCAGGUGAUGCAUUCCCAGUGGUAGCUCAGUUCCCAUCAACUCACCACUGGUGCCUGCAUUAGGAUGUUUUUCUUUCUUCAGGUAUUUGUUUUCAGUCCAUCUUCACCUCCCACCACAGUGAAUUUACUGUCCGUGAAAGGGACUGGGUAGCUCUCCCCUGAGACUACCCUGGGUUUAUUUUUAGCACAGGCAGUUUGGAAAAAUUACUUUCCCUUGCUGACUGCACCAGGACUCUCUUAACUCUGACACAGAAUUCUGGACCUUUCACAUUGGAUUGAGAAUGAGUGGGUAAUCCAUGCCUUCACUUUAGAGAUGGAGGAAUCACAUUACAACGGGGAUAAAAAAUUUGCCACAAGUUACCCAGACACUCAAUUGAAAGAGCUUUUCUUUGAUCUGUUGGUCUCAGAUUUAUAAGAUGUUUAACAGUGUAAAAAUUGCAAGUUAGUCUGACUAAAUUGGACAGAUUGCAGGUAAAAGCCCCGCUCCCUAAAUCCCAAUUGAUCCCCUGAGCCAUUUGUACUACCUAAAAGUGGUAUUAUUACUUUCAAGCUACAUGCUCAAAAAUUAUUUCCCUUGGGAACACACACCUAACCCAAACAAAAAGAUUACUACUUUUUUUCUACUCAUUCAAUACCCUUUGUCCCAGCUAUCUUGUUUCUUUCUUCCUAUGUCUCAUUCAACAUUAUAUUCACAUGCUAUGAUCUCCCCAGACCCCUGCAGACUAUUAGGUUGAACCACAUGAAAUUGCCAAUAUUCAGCUGGUUUUGACCAAUAAAGGUGGUGAUUUCAUAUAAUUCAAGCAAACCCUAUUAGAAUGAGGUAGCAAAUUGUGGAAGUUCUCAUGCAGAACAAUGCAAGUUAUUGACCAAAUCAACUACGGCUCCAUACAUGGAAUCGAGUUGGAUGUGUAUCCAGGCUCUAAUACAAUCUGUUGUAAAAUGCAGGCUAAUUAGCAUAUUAAAUGAGAAUUUAAUACUUGGAAUAUUAAAAGGGAAUUUCAACUUCUGAUAGGGAAAAAAUGUAUAACUGAUGUGCACUCAUGUAUGUUAAUAUGCCAAGAUUCUCUGUGUGCAACGGCUGUGACCACUACUCAGCAUACGCAACUUGCUCAGGCCUUUGAAAACCAACUCUUUACAUACUUUCUCUCCCCCACCACCCCCAACUUCCUCACUCUCUUUCUCUGUCUCUAGUCUCUCAUAGUCAGACUUCUGAAAAGAGCAGUCUACACUCACUUUUCUACAUUCUCUUUCUUAUUCAUCCUGUAGCUCACUGUAAUCUGGUUUCUGUUCCCAACACUCCACUAAAAUAGUUUCUGCCAAGGUCACUAAUGAACUUUGAUUGACAAAUUCAACAGAAAUGCUUCUGUCUUUAUCUUUCUUAACUUCCCUGUUGCAUUUGACAGAUGUGCCAAGAUUUCCUUCUUAGUAUUUCAUCUCUUUCUCUGACUUGCAUGAUCUGCCUUUCUUUUGAUUUACAGAUAUUUUCCCAAACCAGAUUUUCAGCCUUUUGAGGGCAUAGGAUUUGUGUCUUAUUCAGCUGUGUAUCCCAGGGCCUAGUUUAGUAUAGCCUCUGCAAGGUGCUUAUCUAUAUUUGUUGAAUGAAUGAGAAACAAUGAAUUAGCGAAAUGACAGCACUUUGUUAAUUAUUAGUCAUUGCAAAUAUUUAGUUUCUCUUUGGUUUAAUCCCUAUGUCUAGCAACUUCUCUACCUGACUCACUGCCAUGCAUAAUUUUAAUAAUGUAUAGCUGGCAGGGUGCCACAUUCUUCAUGUUUUCGUCUGAGAAAUCCUACUUGAUAG